UACGUAGGGUGCAAGCGUUGUCCGGAAUUAUUGGGCGUAAAGAGCUCGUAGGCGGUUUGUCGCGUCUGCUGUGAAAACUCGGGGCUUAACUCCGGGCCUGCAGUGGGUACGGGCAGACUAGAGUUCGGAAGAGGCGAGUGGAAUUCCCGGUGUAGCGGUGAAAUGCGCAGAUAUCGGGAGGAACACCAAUGGCGAAGGCAGCUCGCUGGGACGUUACUGACGCUGAGACGCGAAAGCGUGGGGAGCAAACAGGG
rnacentral:rRNA from 1 species